CCUACGGGUGGCAGCAGUCGAGAAUCAUUCACAAUGGGGGAAACCCUGAUGGUGCGACGCCGCGUGGGGGAAUGAAGGUCUUCGGAUUGUAAACCCCUGUCAUGUGGGAGCAAAUUAAAAAGAUAGUACCACAAGAGGAAUAGACGGCUAACUCUGUGCCAGGAGCCGCGGUAAUACAGAGGUCUCAAGCGUUGUUCGGAAUCACUGGGCGUAAAGCGUGCGUAGGCUGUUUCGUAAGUCGUGUGUGAAAGGCGCGGGCUCAACCCGCGGACGGCACAUGAUACUGCGAGACUAGAGUAAGGGAGGGGGAACCGGAAUGCUCGGUGUAGCAGUGAAAUGCGUAGAUAUCGAGAGGAACACUCGUGGCGAAGGCGGGUUCCUGGACAUUAACUGACGCUGAGGCACGAAGGCCAGGGGAGCGAAAGGGAUUAGAUACCCCAGUAGUC
rnacentral:rRNA from 1 species